GUCGACACCGYGUUGGCCGCUACUCUGCGCUCKCUCGGGGACGGGGCCCCGGUUCCUCCCCAGCGCGGGCUGGAGCGUGCGCUCGCCCCUGCGGACGCAGCCUGGAGGAGCGGGGGGGCAGGCGGGCCCCGGAGCGGGAUUAGGGCACGGCGUCGGCAGGGGGACGGCUCCUGAUGCAAUAGGCGUGCCCGAGAGUGCUGGCAAGCAAGAAGAUGGGUAGAAGA
rnacentral:lncRNA from 1 species